rnacentral:rRNA from 1 species
AUUGAACGCUGGCGGCAGGCCUAACACAUGCAAGUAGAACGAGUGGCGGACGGGUGAGUACUGUCUGGGAAACUGCCUGAUGGAGGGGGAUAAAUACUGGAAACGGUCGCUAAUACCGACUACCAUCAGAUGUGCCCAGAUGGGAUUAGAUUGUUGGGUGGGUAACGGCUCACAAAGGCGACGAUCCCUAGCUGGUCCGAGAGGAUGACCAGCAACACUGGAACGUGGACACGGUCCAGACUCCUCCGGGAGGCAGCAGUGGGGAAUAUUGCCGAAUUGGCGCAGGCCGGAUGAAGCCAUGCCGCGUGUAUGAAUAAGGCCUUCGGGUGGUAAAGUACUUUCAGCGGGGAGGCGUUACCCGCAGAAGAAGCACCGGCUAACGCCGUGCCAGCCGCCGCGGUAAUAC